rnacentral:rRNA from 1 species
CGAUGAAGGGUGUGACAAGCUACGAAAUGCUUUGGCGAGCCGCAUGUAGGCUUUGAACCAAAGGUUCCUGAAUGUGUCUUCAUGCUUCUUCGGAAGCGAUCCGAAAGGAUCGGGAACGCAGGGAAUUGAAGCGUCUUAGUACCUGCAGGAAAAGAAAUCAAUGAGAUGUUGUAAGUAAAGGCGAUUGAAAACAACACAAGGCAAACUGAAUCUGUCAUGGAAACAUGAUAGAGAUGUGGUGUGGCUGCCCUUUACCGUAACUAGGGAACUCGAAGUCUUCUGGAAAGAAGCACUAUAAAGUGUGAUAGUCACGUAGAGGCAACUUAGUCGGUUUUGGACAGUUCAAGAGUACCAUUUACUGGAUACUAAAUGGGAAAACGGGAGGCAUCAACUUCCAACCUUAAAUACAUUUAGAGACCGAUAGCGAAUAAAGUACAGUGAUGGAAUUCUGAAAAGAACCCUUAACAGGGUGUUAAAAGAGCCUGAAAUCUGACAGUUAUAGAAUGAUACGGCUUUUCGAAGUUGUAUCGUACGUUCCGAAUAACGUGCCAGGGAGUUUAUCUAAGUAGCGAGGGUAAUCUGUAAAGGAGUACCCAAAGGGAAACCAAAAGCUCGCAGCUUGCGAGGAGCGAGGUGUGAAAGUGCCUCAAGUUACUUGGGUAAGACCCGAAACCGAGCGAUCUAAUCCUGAGUAAGGUGAAACGGGGGUAAAACCUCGUGAAGGCCUGAAGAGGUUCUACGUGCAAGUGUUCUUCUAACUUGGGAUUAGGGGUAAAAAGCCAAUCGAGCUCGGCAAUAGCUGGUUCCUGUCGAAAUUGGCCGAAGUCAAGUCCUGAACGAGGCUGCUAAAACGAUAGAGAUACGGAUUUCGGAUUUAGGCUGGGAAACUAGUCGGUCCUUUGUCCAACUCCGAAUGUUUUAGUGUUUAAGACUUCAGGAAACGGGGGCCCGCGGUAAGCGUGGGUUCCGAGGGGGGAACAACCCUGACUAUAGUUAAGGUCCCAAAGUAUCGUCUAAGUGUUAAAGGGUAAAGAGUGUCUACGGUCAUAGACAGCGAGGAGGUUGGCUUAGAAGCAGCCACCCUUUAAAAAGUGUGUAACAACUUACUUGUCAAGAUCGUAGGUCUCUAAGAUGGACGGGGCUAAGGCGAUCACCGAUACUAUAGACUAGCCAAAAGCUAGUGGUAGACAGGCGUUUCGUGAGAGUAAAAACAUUUUUGAGAAAGAAUGCGAAUCUCAUGAAAAUGAAAAUCCUGGUAGUAGUAAGAUCUUAGCAGAGCGAGAAUCUCUGCCACCGUAAGGGCAAGGGUUCCUUGACAAUGUCAAUCAGUCAAGGGUUAGUUAGUCCUAACUCCAAUCAUAAUCUGAGUUGGAGGAAAGGGAAAAAGGUUAAUAUUCCUUUACUAUUUAAGUAUACGCGGCGACGCAGGUUUGAUUUCUGACUCUUUGGAAUAAGUGGGCAUGGAUUGUCUUCCAUGUUAAUAGGGAUAAAUCAAAGGAGUAUCAUAAUGAUGAGAAUUUGAUUAAAUCCUAGAACAGUAAGUCUUAUGGCUUAUCCUGCUGAUUUCUGGAGAUCAUAAAAAGGGAAUCAAAACAGAUCUUAAAUAUCUAUACCCAGAACCAACACAGGUGCCCCUAGGUUAGAAGCCUAAGGUGUGAAGGAUAUAAUCUAAUUGAGGGAAUUCGGCAAAUUGGCCCCGUGCCUUUGGUAUAAGGGGUCCCUGCGGUAGUUGUCUUUUAUUGAUUGCUAUUGCAGGGCGCAGUGACAAGGGUGGUCCGACUGUUUAACAAAAACAUAACUGACUGCUAGUCCGUAAGGAUGUGUAUAGUCGGUGACGUCUGCCCAGUGCCAGUACUUGAAACUUGGUUUCAACCAAGCUAAGAGCUGGUAAACGGCGGGGGUAACUAUAACUCUCUUAAGGUAGCGAAAUGCCUUGCCGUUUUAAUGACGGCUUGCAUGAAUGGUGUAACGAGAUCACCACUGUCCCCAAUUAGAAUCCUCUGAACAUUCCAUUCUGGUGCAAAGGCCAGAGAUCUCCAGUGGGAAGCGAAGACCCCGUGAAACUUUACUGUAGCUUAUUACUGCGACGUGAGCUUUAUUGUAUAGCGUAAGUAGGAGUCGUUAUGUUCUGGGCGCAAGCUCAGAAAUAGACGCCAAUGUAACACUACUCUUUAAAACUCGCGUUGCUUACUGGGAGUUAACUCCUAGGACACUAAUAGGUGGACAGUUUGGCUGGGGUGGCACGCUGUUGAAAUGAUAUCAACAGUGCCCAAAGGUUGACUCAAUCCGGUCAGAAAUCGGAUGUAGAAUGCAAGAGUAAAAGUCAGCCUGAUUGGAUUCUCACUAAGACAGACUCCAAAGACGAAAGUCUGGUCUAGCGAACCUCAAAAUCCCCUUGAUAGGGGUUUGAGAUGACCGAAAAGUUACUCCGGGGAUAACAGAGUUGUCGCGCCCGAGAGUUCGUAUUGAGUAUACAAUGUGAUACUCAUGAACAAAUCGACGGCGCGGUUUGCUACAUCGAUGUCGGCUCAUCCUAUCCUGGCUGUGCAGCAGCAGCCAAGGGUGUAGGUGUUCACUAAUUAAAAGGGUUCGUGAGCUGGGUUCAGAACGCUGUGAGGCAGUUUGUUUGAUAUCUACUGGAGAUGUUAGAUGUCUGAAAGAAAGGAUCUCUUAGUACGAGAGGAACAGAGGUUCGAGGCCACUGGUCUACCUGUUAUCUGACAAGGUAUGCAGGGCAGCUACGCCUUAAAGGAUAAGUGCUGAAAGCAUCUAAGCACGAAGCCUUUCUUGAAAAGAGACAUCUUAGAACUCGGAUAAAAGAUCCGUUUGAUGGGAUCGGUGUGUAAGUACAAAGCUUCGGCAAUGUAUUCAGC